rnacentral:rRNA from 1 species
AUUGAACGCUGGCGGCAGGCCUAACACAUGCAAGUCGAACGAGUGGCGGACGGGUGAGUAAUGUCUGGGAAACUGCCCGAUGGAGGGGGAUAACUACUGGAAACGGUAGCUAAUACCGCAUACCAUCGGAUGUGCCCAGAUGGGCUUAGCUAGUAGGUGGGGUAACGGCUCACCUAGGCGACGAUCCCUAGCUGGUCUGAGAGGAGGACAAGCCACACGGGAACUGAGACACGGUCCAGACUCCUACGGUAGGCAGCAGUGGGGAACAGUGCACAAUGGGCGGAAGCCUGAUGCAGCCAGGCCGAGUGUAUGAAGAAGGCCCUCGGGUUGUAAAGUACGUUCAGCGAGGAUGCGUUACUCGCAGAAGAAGCACCGGCUAACUCCGUGCCAGCAGCCGCGGUAAUUC